UCUAAGUUCGGAGUCCUGCCUGAUGUAAUAUUUUUCGCUUACGUUCGCGCAAAAUCCAUCAUGCUGCCUCGCGAUGCUGCCUCCCCUCCCUUCCGUCGCUGCGGCCGGCGUCCAGUCUGCAGCUUCUGGAGUAUAAUGAAUCUAAGACUGCUGCUGCUGAUCCGGAGGGUGAUUCCAAUGAGCUGAAUAGAGAAGACAAAGCCAGCUAGAAAAAAGAGCCCGAUCUCAAUGGUGCUUUGAAAAGGUGACCAGCCAUGAUUAGCAGCCAUGAAUCAUGGCUGCAAUUGAAUAUUAGAAGACAGGAAAUGCUUUGAAAAGGUAAGCAGCCAUUAAGACAAAGCCAGCUAGAAAGAAGAGCCCGAUCUCAAUGCUGCUUUGAAAAGGUGAGCAGCCAUGAAUCAUGGUUGCAAUUGAAUAUUAGAAGACAGGAAAUGCUUUGAAAAGAAAAACGAAUUGAGAUCUCUCUUACCCAUAAGUCUUCUUCACAAUGGCUUUUUCACUGGCUGUCAUAAGAAUGAGGACAGCACGCAUAGCAGUUUUAGCUGGAGAUGUCAGCGCAAGGUUCCUUCAUAUCUUCAUAAGUUGGUUUUCACUCAAGAAUUCAUGGCAGCUUUACGAACAAUAACAAUGAAAGAGAACGAGAUUAAAAAGGCUACUUCUCUGCUAGAAGUGGUUCACUGCAGCGAUGAUUUGCAUGAGAUACCCAUAGAUAUGAUACGAGCGAAAUGCAGACUUGACAAAAUAAAAAUAAAUUUUGCUUAGUUUGGACCUCCCUGUAACUAUGGAUCAUAUUUUCUUUUGUGAAUGCCCAAGGCUCCCUUGAGCAGGGUUUCCGUGACAGCUAAAUUUUUGUUGGUAACAUACAAAACAAACACAGGCAAAUUGGGAAUGCUGGUCUUGGUAGAAAACAGAAGGAAGUUGUUGAUGCGAAGCAUUCUUCUGCUUGAGUCCUGAAUAUCUCUAUAAUUGGAGAAAAGCUAAAAUCCAAGAUGGUAGAUAUUAAGAUGCCAAAAAAGAGAGUUGACAAAAAAUUGGUGCAAGAUAAAUGAGUAUUAUAGCAGGAUGGGGAAGAAAUCUUAAUAUAGGAGGGCAGCUUUUUUUUCCUUUUUCUUUUUUUAAAUAUUCGGAUGACUUCAUAAAAGCAUGAGAAUAAAUGUUGAAGGUUUGCGGAAACUAAUCCUUGGUUUUGCCAUCGUUGGCUCAGAAUAGAUUAGUGAAUUUUUCUUUAUUAUAUGAA